GUAGCUUCUCGGCUCUCUAUGAGCUCAGAUCAAGCGUAGUACCUGUUCUUAUCAGUUUAUAUUAUGGUAGUGCCUAAGAACAUCAAUCAAGGACCAGGGCCCUUUUACUGCAAGGCACUAUAUAGGUAAGUAAUGAAGAAGACAGUCCUU
rnacentral:snRNA from 1 species